rfam:Hordeum vulgare subsp. vulgare, WGS project CAJW01000000 data, contig: morex_contig_2546645
AUACUACUCCCUCCAUCGUAAAAUUCUUGUCUCAGAUUUAUUUAAAUAUAAAUGUAUCUAGUUAUAUUUUAGUGUUAGAUACAUCCACAUCUACAGAAAUCUAAGACAAGAAUUUUAAAACGGAGGUAGUACAUG